AAAGAACCCUGAGAGGGAAAAAUAAAGACAUUAAGUGAGGAACUGUUUCUGAAGAUGAAAGCCAAGGAGUCACUUUUCGGUGCCAUCAUCCCUCCUGUCCAGCAGUAUCUGCAACUGUAAAAAUAAAAUUUUUAAAAGGACAAUAAAAGACAACCUGGAGAGGCUGCUGCGACUGAGUGCAUUGCCAUCUUAGUGGAAGAGCUGCUCAACAGGCUCUUUGAUAGGUACAUGAAUCUGUCAGAACUGCGAGGAUAUGAACAUAUUGUUGGCAGAAGAGAUUCAUUUGGUUGGGCAUUUGAUUGCUAAUUUAAUUAUUUUGCCACAACAUGACAGACGGGUUCCUUAAGCUGGUUUGCAUAUCACAUAGAGAGCUGGGACCAUGGUUGACCCUGCCCAGCGGAGGGCCUCAUUGUAGGCUGAAGCCUAUGCUGUUCUGUUUUACCUUCUAUGUUCCCCACCACCGUCUGACUGGUUUCAAAUGGAACCCAGCAACCUGCACAUUAUGGAGUUAAUCUGAAAUGUCUGCCGGAAAUUAUCGAAGAAAUUAAUUUAGUAGAUGUUUGCUUCAUUAUACCUUCACUCUGAAAGCAAACUGCUGACCUUCCACUAAUGAACUGAGUGGCAAUGUUUAAUUGAUGACAUUUCCUUUUGGUUGCCUCAGGCUUGGUUGAACUUGUACUGCGACUGAAGUCAUCCUGGCGAUGAAGUAUGUGUCACAGCUGAUCUGCAUUAGCUUGGUGAACCGGAUAUGCGUAUGAAGUUGUACAUCUUGUCACGGUGCCCGAGUGGAAGGCUGCACUUACACAGUGUCGUGUCUGCGUUGUGUGGCUCACAGGAACUGAGGCAUCGCUGUCUGAAACCUGCAUGCCGAUUCCACGGCAGUUACCCGUGCAGCUUCGACACAUGCCUGACCUUGUACAGUCUUGCACUCGGCUCCUCCUUGCAAAUUCCCUAAUUCGUAAAGCGUUUAGUCAGUAUUAAUGAUGCAAAACUUUUUAUGUCUGCUGAGCAAGGCAUCCUUGAUUUGCAGAAUAAACGACAAGGUUGUUUGAUCUCUUGAUAUGGUUGCCACUGGUAACGUUUCUUUUAUAGCACACGUGAUGUUGCCAUACGAAUGGGGUGGCUCCUUUGGUAGAACUAUGUAUGUUGCACGGAUCACAGUCAGAUGCGUGCCAUUGCUUCCUAUGAAACAAAACCUAACAGCAAUAAUGGAUGGAAGAACUCAGCAGGUCAGGCAGGAUCUAUGGAGAGCAAUAAACUGAUAAUGUUUUGGGCUGAUAUCCUUCAUUGGGCAUCAAUGGCUGUGAUACUUCACUCCCAGAUGAGCUCAACACCUUUUAUGCACGCCUUGAAAGAGAGAAUAAAACUACAUCUGUGCAAAUCAGGCCACAAACUUAUAAAUCACCCCUGCUGUGGACCACUUCUGGAGGUCCAAGACGCCGACUUCUACAAAGAAGGGAUCCGUACGCUCCAUGACCUCUGGACUAAGUGUACUCGCGAACCUGAUUCAAUGUUACAGUCUCAAGAGGCUUUCUCUAUGGGUGGAGGUUCCCACUUGGAGAGUGUAACCAAAAUUUCAUGGCCUGAAGGCAGGAAGACAACUUCUCCGUUUGGUUUUGGAGUUGUGGUGAAAUAAAGUUUACUAAAUGUGAUGGUAGCUUUUUUGGAUGGUUUAACACUGACAGAAAAUUUCAAAUAUAAAAUGCCAAUGGGAUUUGUGCUAAAGCUCUUUUUUUCUCUCUCUCUCUCUCUCUCUCUCUCUCUCUCCAGACACCUUAUAUAAACUACAUUUUAGAUGAGCUUGAUUAAAAUGCC